CGGCGGACGGGUGAGUAAUGCCUAGGAAUCUGCCUAUUAGUGGGGGACAACGUUUCGAAAGGAACGCUAAUACCGCAUACGUCCUACGGGAGAAAGCAGGGGACCUUCGGGCCUUGCGCUAAUAGAUGANCCUAGGUCGGAUUAGCUAGUUGGUGAGGUAAAGGCUCACCAAGGCGACGAUCCGUAACUGGUCUGAGAGGAUGAUCAGUCACACUGGAACUGAGACACGGUCCAGACUCCUACGGGAGGCAGCAGUGGGGAAUAUUGGACAAUGGGCGAAAGCCUGAUCCAGCCAUGCCGCGUGUGUGAAGAAGGUCUUCGGAUUGUAAAGCACUUUAAGUUGGGAGGAAGGGCAGUAAGUUAAUACCUUGCUGUUUUGACGUUACCGACAGAAUAAGCACCGGCUAACUUCGUGCC
rnacentral:rRNA from 1 species